rnacentral:rRNA from 1 species
CAUCACCAGUAUUAGAGGCACUGCCUGCCCAGUGACACUAGUUAAACGGCCGCGGUAUCCUGACCGUGCAAAGGUAGCAUAAUCAUUUGUUCCUUAAUUAGGGACUUGUAUGAAUGGCCCCACGAGGGUUUAACUGUCUCUUACUUUUAAUCAGUGAAAUUGACCUUCCCGUGAAGAGGCGGGAAUACAAAAAUAAGACGAGAAGACCCUAUGGAGCUUAAAUUAAUUUGUUCAAUAGAACCUAAACUGUAACCCAACAGGGAUAAAAAUAUUCUAUCUGAAUAAUAAAUUUUGGUUGGGGUGACCUCGGAGAAUAACUAAACCUCCGAGCAAUUAAACCAAGACUCACCAGUCAAGGCCAUAAAACUCAUUGAUCCAAUCCUAUUGAUCAACGAAACAAGUUACCCUAGGGAUAACAGCGCAAUCCUAUUUAAGAGUUCAUAUCGACAAUAGGGUUUACGACCUCGAUGUUGGAUCAGGACACCCAAAUGGUGCAGCAGCUAUUAAAGGUUCGUUU